AAUAAAUACGCCACAGUUUCGGUUAAAGACAACAACCGAAUCUCCUUGUCCAUCAAACACGCACAACACAACGCAGAGUCGUAGCAAGGGUCUGCUGAGAAGUAGGCCCAGACCGGCUACAUUGGUGCCGUGACCCGGAUGACAUCGUGGAUCAACACCAGCUUGGUCGCCGGAGGUUGUCGGAGGUCAAAACAACAACAAAAAAGAGGGCUAUCCGUGUCCAGUGUCACUGUGUCUGAUUUCCUACGCCAACGAGGAGUCCUAGAGGAAGUAAUAAAACACUUAGAGGAGGACAAGAUUGACAAAGAUGUCAUUCCCUGCAUGGAAGAUGGAGACCUGGCAAAAUACAUUUCCUCAUUUGGGGAUCGUCUGGCAUUGAAGAGUUUCUGCAGAAAUGGGACAACACAAAAAACCAAAAUGGGUCUUUUUGAAAAGCUUAGCGUCAAGCUUAAGAAGCGAAAUAAUGCUGAGGAAAAUGAAAAUGGGAAAACAAAACAGGCCAGAAAAGCUGAGGAAAACAAAACACAAGAUGCAGAGCCAGCUGAUUCAUCAGCAGGUUCUUCAAACAAGAGGCGGAAAGCAACCCAUCGAAAGAUUGAAAUUGGAUGGUUGCACUGUGAGGGAGAACAAAGGAAACAAAUACGAGGUAAACAGGGAGGAGGGACAAGAAUGGUACCUUGGAAUAGAAUGUGGAAUGGAUGAGGUCCUUCAAAAAGGAAAGAGGCUCUUCUUUCCAGAUGGAUUGUCAUCAAAAGAUCAUGAAUCUGAGUUCAACUUUGAAUUGAGGGACUACAAACAGAACCCUGUCCAAGAGGAUGUAACCGUUGGAUUUAUCUAUGAUACUUUGUGCGUGGCACGGUUGCGAUUUUAUGUUGCUACUUCCCCCAAGGAGUUGAAGGAUGAUAGUGCCACAGAUGGUGAAAAAUCAAAAUGCGGUGUAAUAACAAUAGAUGAGGAUGAGGAGGAUGAUCACCAGGACUCACAUCAUGCCUCACAACAGGAUGAUCUUCAGUGUGAUUCAGAGCAGAAUGAAAAGUGAAAGAGUACAAGAGGAAGAGGAUGGUGUUACAAUCACUGGCAUACGAUACGGCAUACUGUUUGAAUGUGACCUGGUAACUGACAUUGAAUCGGAAGUAACCUUUGGUCCGGGUUGUCGUGAAAUUGAAACUGACGCUGACGAUGACACAGAACCAUUUGAUUUUGGGUUUCAGCCCCAACUCCAACUGCAGCCACUCAUAACCUCGGAUGUUUCCUCGUCAUUGCAUUCUGCCUCCUCACUUCAGCAAGUCAUGGACCCACCACCUGAGCAACUGCUCUCCACAUCAACAGUAUCCAAUGAUGCAUCUCCAGCACAACUACCUGGCUCCACAUCACAGGCCAGUCUCGCCAAAAUAAUAACCAUACACCAUAGUAAUUGCCUAAAAGAGUUGAUUAAAGAGUUCAUGGAUCCUACUUUGCUCACACGCCCAUUAAUUAUGAGAAGAAUACUUCCAGAUAACCGUGUAGAAAAGGGGAUUGGCGAAGGUGUUGUCAGAGGUAUUUACUGUUCUUUUUGGCAAGAAUUUUAUGAUCGCCGUACUGUUGGAACAGCAGUCAAAGUUCCAUUCAUUAGGCAUGACUUUAGCUGUGAAACCUGGAAGGCCAUUGCCAGAAUUUUGCCUUCAGGUUUACAAACAUGUCAGUAUUUGCCGAUAAAAUUAGCUCUUCCUCUGAUGGAGGACCUCUUUCAUGGAUCUGUGUGCAGCAACCUCCUAGAAAGCUUCCUUCAGUAUGUGAGUAUUCAGGACCAGGACAUUCUCAAAAAGGCGCUUGAGGAUUUCUCAUCAGUUGAUUCCAGCGAGCUCAUGGAAGUCCUUGAGAACUACGAGUGCCGAAAGAUGAUCAAAGCGGAAACGCUUCCACAGAUCCUGAAGGAGAUUGCACAUAAAGAACUAGUACAAAAACCUAGGUAUGUAAUUGUUUGUUGGAAGCAGUUGAUGCAUGGAAAGGUCAACAUUGCUCAUGAUGACCUACUGGCACGCUAUCAGGCGCUCAGACCCAAUCCAAGACGAGUUCAAGGUCUACUUGACUUCCAAGAGGUCAUGACCUCAAAACAGCGAGAGGUGGAAAACCACUUGAGAAGAUAUCUUAGAGAGUUAGAUGAGGACCAUCUCGGAAAAUUCCUGCGUUUCACAACUGGUAGUGAUAUAAUCACUUGUACCAAAAUCCAGGUUGUCUUUACAAAAAUGUCAGACUUCUCCAGGAGGCCUAUUGGCCACACAUGUGGAUUUGUGCUGGAGGUGUCAGAUAGUUACGAUAACUUCCCAGAUUUUAGAUCAGAAUUCAGUGCUGUUUUGGACAGCAACAUCUGGGUUAUGGACAUUGUCUAGGCUUCUGAUGUUUUGCCCUGUCACAUGCAUAUUGCUCAGGGAUGUUUUUACAGGGCUUUGAAAACGCUGCUACCUGAAACAUUAAUUCUGUAACAUAUAUGUUUAUGUUUCUCUAGCACUUCAGCUGUUUUUUUUUUUAUACAGCCAAUUGUAUAAUUGCACUCAUGUUUUAUACAGUUUAGGCUAUGUGUUCAUUGAACACAAUUUGUGUUUAGGCCUAUGUAUUUGAGUCUGACUGAGAUUUGUAUGUUUUGGCUUGUCACAUGCAUAUUGGUCAUAAAUGUUUCUACUUGCAUUUGAAAGUUAUUCCUCUUGAAAUAUUGAUCUAUACUUUUAUGUAUACUUUUCUCUAGCACUACAUAACUUUUGUUGUAUGCAUUUUUUUGUAUUUGUACUUUUUGUAUUUUUGUAAAGCUGUCAUGUUUUAUAUGGUGUAGGCCUAUGUGCUGUUUGAACACAAUAGGCCUAUGUGUUGUUUGUUGGAACUUGAGCUGCUCAGUGUACUUGAGUACAAUAAGUAAAAUGAGUUUUAAGUAAACGCUUUCGAAACCA